rnacentral:tRNA from 1 species
GGUGGCUCAGUGGCAGAGCGCUUGCCUUGCAUGCAUAAGGCCCUGGGUUCAAUUCCUCAGCACCA